UUGGUCAUUAUUGGCAGUCUUCAGAAGACAUGGGGUGACAUGUACUGCCACUGAGAAUGAUGUAGAUGUUUUGAUAGCUGCAUAUGCAUUUCGUCUUAAAAUUUUGCAUGAAAGGGGACUUAAUCUGUUAAACAAGGAAGGUAUGGGCUUCCACUACUUAUAUGAAUUUGAUGACUUAUUGAAAAUCUUACUUCAAUUCUACUUAUCAAACCAUUUAACAUGCAGCAGAAAAUGAUAAAGCAAAGCGUGUUCAUUCUACUGACAAGAAACUCUCUCUUCAUAGUCAGCAUGCAACCAUGAUCAAUGGUUUACAAGAUGUGCUCAAAGAAAAACUUGAAGAGCAACAAAUACGGAAAGAGGAAGAAUUAGCUAGAGUGAAAGCUCAACAAGUCGUACUCUUUCAUAGCGCGUUUUGACGAUGAACGAAACUAGACAAUUAAAGGAGUGCUGAAAUGGUGACCACAUGCUACCUUAAGGGCUCAAGAAU